CAAGCCGUCCCUCGGGCCGCUCCCGCCUCCUCCCAGCGCUGCGUUCCUAAUGUGCCCGGUUUUUUUAACUCUCUGCGGCUGGAAUUGCAAGAAGAGCCCCAGCCGCACUUGGGGGCUGUGCUGUGUGUAUCUCAGAGCUGCUGUCAGGGCUCGCUGGCGCCUCCCGUCAUUAGAGGCAGCUGGAUCUGCCACAGGAGCAUCGUGGGCAGGCCUUGGGUGCAGCAGAGUUAUCCCGGGCUGAAGGGGACCGGCUGUAAAAAUGCCAGGAAAAGUUGUCCCAGCGGGGAAAUUGACGCGGAGGCAUCGCCCCGCCGUUGUGGGGUCCCUGUCCCGCAGGAACAGCGUGUCCUGUCCUGAUGGCCCAGAUGCAGGAGGAAUGGGUGAGGAUGCGAAGGAGAGCUAUUUCUUCAGCCAGGGCUGACUCCCUCACUUCCUCAACAGCAUCACCUGCGUGCCUGGCACUUCCCCAGCUGAGACUGACAAGGAUUCAUGAUGGAUGUUGAUAUUCCUCAGGAUGCUGCCAUCUUCUGCUCCCUCAGCACAGCUUCUGGUUGCAGUAAAUCAAAGGAACUGUUCAGAAUCUGAGGGUUUGUCGGCUAAAAACCGGGCUCAGUAAUGCACCUGGUUAAAUAAACAUGUGGGUAGUUCUUGAGGGAUUUUUGAAAGUAUUGUGCUGAAUAAAUGGAGAGUUUAACUGCUGCUGAGUUUAAUUUUUAUUUUCUGAUGCAGUCCACCUGCAUUUCUCAUCAUCAAUAUUACAAAUGUGCUUUUUGACACAGUGGCCUCAGUAACAAUCCUGUGAUUCUUGCAGACGUGUACAGAGCUGGAGAGGCUUUCUGGCUUUUGUCUAGUAGCAGAGCAUAAAUCAAAUGGGAAAUGGUGCUUCCUGCUGAUGGGCAAGAGGAAUGCUGAGCAGGGGAAUCACUCCCAAAGCCAGCCUGCUCCUUAGGUGCUUUGUAGGAGGGAAACGCCCCGAGGCCUCUAUUGGUUCCUUUCAUCUGGUCUGUGGGUUCUUAAACUCCCUGCAGGGACUGCUGCUGGUUUGCAGCUGGAGUGGGAAGAGGAGAGGGUUUGGGCACUUUUUGGUUUGCUCAAAUUACCUUUGCAAGUGGUACCUGCAUCAGAAGGGCUCUGAACCAGACAGCUGAAAGUACUUGAUAGUCCUUGCCCCCCAAAACAAGCAGCUGCUGAACUCCAUGGAGAACUCCCUGGCUCUCAGCUGGGAUCCAGUGGCUGGUGUGGAUAAUUACCUGCUGACCUGUUAUCCAGCUGGGUAUGAAAUGUUGGUGAAACAAAUCCAUGUGCCCAAAGAGCAGCUCAGCUAUGAGAUGGCACAAGGUGCUGGGGUGGAAUCUCACAAUGUCACACUUCCAUCACGUGUGAAGGGGAUUGCCAGUGAGCCCAAGCAUCUAGAAGCCAGUACAGUCUGGUCUGAAGCCAGUGCCAUCUGAGUGACAGAGGAGGUGGAGUACUCCCUGGAAGUGGGGUGGGAGAGCCCUCCAACAGAUGUGCAUUAUUACAGGCUGAACUCCAGAUCCCUAGCGGAGAUGCCUGAGAAGCACAUCUAAGAGCAGAUAAAUCCUCACUGGAGUCAACAGCCCAACCAAUGUGACAACCAACUGAGUGACAGAAGAUACCAGCACUGUCUCACGGAAUAAGGUGGAGGCUCCCUUAGACAGACAGGUACAUGGGGAGAUACACCUUGGCUGGUGGAGACCCCAAGGACAUGCAGGUGGGCAGUGAAAAUGACAUGAUCACCUUACUGGAUCUGAGGCCAGACAUGGAAUGUCACUGACAUCUGGGCAGAGGAGCAAGAAGGCAAGCACCAGAGCUGUGACAGGGGAUGCAGGGACCUACCACAACGGCUGGAAGUUCACAAGAUGGCAAGGGGACAGUGAUGUGGCUCUCAGCAUCUGUGCCCUGCCAUGCCACAGUGCAUGGUGGUACAAGAACCACACCUGGCCAAGCUCAGUGGGAAGCACUGGGAGAGCAGUCACUGAGGGUGUGAACUGGGAGUCAUGGAAAGGAUGUGACUUCUCCAUCUCUUUUAUGGAGAUGAAGAUCUGUCCUCAGUCUUCCAGUAAUGAGCCAGUCCUGGGGAGGAAGAAGUCUUUAUCAGAGAAGAGGAAAAAGAUCAGGAAUUAAAUAGAACUCUCUGCAGAACAAUACCCAAAGUGAUUCAGUGUUUAUUAACAAAGUUUGAUUCAGACAGCUUUCUCCAAUGCAAUAGCUGACCAGUGUGCACCCAGGGACAUCUGGAUCUGCAGGCCAACCUGCUAGCAGCUUUGGAGCUCCUGGAGGGAGAUGUUCCAGAGACUAGGAGGGGGCUUGUGGGGCAUCCUGCUUGUAGAUACUCUGGUUUGGCUAAGCAUGACAAGGACCUGAUUGAUCCAAUACAUGCAAUUUCUAUGAACUUUAUGUAAAACAAGCCUUAACACAUGUUGUUCUUUCUGAAGCCUGGGCUGCAGACUCCUCUUAAUUCUGUCUUUCUCUGGUGCCAUCACUUCAGACUUCCAAAAAUAAAUUUGUACCUACUAACAAAUAAUAGCCCCCUAAUUUACAUCAGAGUGAACUUUUCUGAGACUAUCACCCCUCCCUAUUUUGGUCUGCAGUUCUCCUCAUUAUUUGGGCACAGUCCCUAUUCUUCCUGCAGAACUGGGUUUUGGGAAACACUGCCAGUCUGCUGGCAAGGCUCACUAACCCAUGUGUGUUCUGUAGACUGGGUUGCUCAGCCUCCAGUAUCACAUCUCUGCAGGUUAAAAUCUUUCUAUUUUGCUUGUGUCAUUUUUCCAGCCCAGAAAAAAUACGAAGAAGAUGUGCAGUAGAUUGAUGUUCACUCUCCAGGGUGAGGCCCAGAACAGGGUGAAUGUAAGGUCCAUUCUCCUCCAGGCUCUGCUCACCAUCCCAGACCUCUCUGUACUGCUUGCUUACAGACAAUUAACCAAAUUCCCUAUGUGACUGUUCCAUCUGCUGCCUCUGCUUUUUCAUCAGCAGUGUGGCAGGUAGUGAUGCUGAAAUGAUAACAGUUGUCAUCCACCUCUAAAAUGAACAUCCCUUGGAGUUAAACUAAUCCUGUGUGCCCCAGUACAUGGUUUCACAUUUGACUGCUUUUUUUUUUUGUUUGUUUUUGGGGGCUUUAUUUUUUUAUUUUGUUUUGGUUUUUUUUCACUCACAGCCAUAAAGGUGAAGUUUAUUUUUUUUUCCCCCUGAUAAGACAUUAACAUUCUGGACAGCCAGCUCCAGCCAGGGCAGAAGUAUGAGCUAACCAAAUGCUGCUUGUUCAAAAGCUUCCUUGUCUGAGCACACUGGGACAUGGUUGUCCCAUGUCUUAAUGGCCUUCUCUAUUGCAGUGCUAAGCUGAGUAAUACAUUUUAAAGAAUCCUUCCCAGACUUUGGAGAAAGUAAAAAAUUAACAAAUAAAGGGGGUCUUAAAUAUUUCUGUCUUCUUUGUUUUGGGUGGUAGAAUUGUUUUUCUUCCUAUUUAAGCAUUUUGCAUGAAGUGGAAGCAUUACCCAGGUCUGGAGUGGGACUGUGCAGAUUGGGUCUUUGGGGUCUGCUCCAAAACAGGGAUGGGGAUUGAGCUCUCUUUGUGACUUAACUCUGUGAAGUGCUUAACUGACCUGUGCUUGCUAGGACCUGGCUGAGGAGAGCCAGAGAGUUCUCUCAAAGGUGAGGACUCAAUUCUUCAUCCUACAUUCAGGGCUGUGCCUCUCGGGUGGGCAGGUGAGCAGAGACUCAUCUGAGCUGUGUUAGGCUAUCCAAGCCCUGGCUUGGGGGAGGGAGGAGACUGAUGGCGAGAGGAGUAGAAAGGAAAAUUGUACUUGAAGUGUUUUGCAGGCUCUGUGCUAAGAGCAUGAGAGGAGGACACGGGGAAGCGAUGAGGGCUCUUUACUGUGAAGUGUUUUCUCCCUGUUGCCCACUUGUCUGCAGGAAAGGACAGAUUUCAGUUUGUUAUCCAGUUAAAGGGCUCAGUGAAGUCAUCGGGAAGGUGGCUGAGAUGGAGAGGGUGACCAGUCUCACAGACAGCCACUCUAAAAGUAAGUGUAUGCUCUAAAAUACAGCAGGUGUGAUUGUUACCUGUGACUUUUUCCUCUGCAGCAGCAAAACAUAAUCCCAUCCUAAAGCUGAAUCCCCCCGGAAGCAGGGAGUAUUCCCUUAGGUAGUAUAAGCUUUGUUUUUGUGCUAAGGGCAAAUGAGGUGUUUUAUUUGCAGUUUCUGAGGAGGAUCUGUCUGGCCUCCUAAUGCUCCUCUACCAGGAAGGGCAAAGUGAGAGCUGCUGGAAAACCGCAGCAGAAAGUCAGUAUUCCCAACAGCCACAGGAUGGCAUUGUCCCUUCAGGCAGGAGAGACUCCCCGGUAUCCAGCUGGCCUCUGCGAAAGGACCUUUUUGGGGUUAACUAGAGCCUGUGCUACAGCCCGGGACUGCUCAGAUAGUGCAGUUUGUUUGCCUUGAGGGAUUGGCUGUUCUGGUUUUGAGGCUCAGGAUGGUUGGGGUAGUGCCAUAAAAAGUGCCAUAUCCCUUUACUACCCUUGUUUUGCUGUAAUAUGUGGCCCUGUAACAGUGAUGUAGGAGUGCCAAUACAUUCUCAAAACCUCUGCCUUGCUCUGAGAUCACUUAAAAGUUUAUAUACUGAUUUGCAACACAUCUGGGGCAGAAUUUGAAUCCCAGAAGGCUUUGGCAUCACUGUGUUGAUCCUGUAGCUGGGUCCUACCAGCCAGGACCCACCUAUUGUGAUGUUUCUGGGACCCCAGAGAAAUGUUGCUGUAUUCACCCAGGAACAGGAGGGAGAGGAAAGAUACUCUUCCCAAAGAUACUGUGUUUCUAUGGUGUUGUAAUUUGGAGAGAAGCCUGAAGUGUCUUCCUGCACUGGACACUUGCUUGGAAAGCAGUGUAGUUACUUUUGGUCACUUCUCUAGGCUUUGUUGGCUGAAUAAAUAGUGGAAUGGUCAGUGAGGAUCCAAUUCUUCCACCAUAGAGGGAUUUAAUGGGCAUUUUUCCUUCCCUUCAACCUUUAGACUGCUCCAGGAGUCAUCUCAGCCACUGCAUAUAUCUAACCUAGGACCCUGGAACUAUCCUUUUCUCCUUGCAGCCCAGGCUACCCAAGAGCACCUUGCCCUAAAUCCAGUGUCUAACAUCUGGAGAGAAGCAAGAAGCUCCUUUCUUCUCCAGGAAGUGGGCCUCUGCCAUUUCUAGUGCUCAUCUGUGCUCCUGCACUCCUCUUUCACCAGCCUCUUCCGGAGCCUCAGCUUUGUGGGCAAGGGGCAGCUUGGUGCCUCAUCCGGAUGAGAAGCAGGUUUUUAUUCUUUGCCCUCACAAAGGCAGAGCUCCGUGGUGUAGGAUUUGCAAAGUCUCUGCCCAGCAAGCUGCAGACACCAUGAAAUACUUGUCUGAUCAAAACCAACUGGGGUUAACUAGUCCGUGCUGCUGAUCCCCCUUAAGAAAAAACAAACCUGCAGCCCACCUCCCACAGCACAAGCCUUUUGUUCUUCCCACUACUUCUUGCCCUUGGGUAGUGCAGCUUGGCUGUGCUCAUUAACAAAGCAAGGCCAUUAACUUGAUUAAGUUAAGCUGUUUCUUUAAAAAAGAAAUCUCUAAGCUGCACAGCUGGCUGUAGGCAGACACUGCACAGCCUCUGCUGCUGAGCUCUCCCUGUGUCUUAUCUACAGCCAGGACACAGGUACAAGAAAGAUUUCCCCAGGAAAAUAAACACAUGACCAAGAGAUCGAAA